rnacentral:pre_miRNA from 2 species
CUCGUUGAUGGGCGUAUUCUCGAUUGUUCUGGUCCAGCUCUAUCUUUGUGCUGAACCAUUACAACCGUGAGUACGUCAUCAAUGCCA